UUUAAUGUAGAUUGUUUUUCAAGCUGAUGCAGCCGAACUUCAAGAAACCUCAUGCAGCUGUACAGCAGGCAAGGUUCUGUGCAACCAUCUAGUGGCCUUGUUGUUCCAGAGUGCCCAUUACAGCAUGUUGCAGUUGAGAGCUGUACCACCACCUGUGGCCUGCACAAGCUCUCUGCAAACAUGGUAUCGACCAAGGACAAAGGUAAGAUUGUAGCUGCGCAUUGCUGCACCGCAUUGAAUAGACUUCCAGUCUAUUUUUCAGCUGUGGCAUGAGCUGCCCCGCGUGCCACCCUUCGCUCCGUUACACCUGGGACACACUUUUUGUGGAGCGAAGCGUGGUGCGCGCGGCGGCUGAAAAAUAGACUGGAAGUCUAAAGCGGUGCAGCGCGAGGGGCUGUGCAGCUGUACGUCUGGCUACAUUAACAUGGGGGUGAAUUGGAAGCGUUGCCACUCCGCGUGGCUACCGCGAGCAGUGUGUUUACACCAUUACAAGCAAGAUACUAUUACAAUUAUGGCUACUUGUUAAUAUCAUUCCCAGGGGAUCCAUGCAGAGCCGGUUCAGGACUUGGUUGUUAGGAGACCAAAGCCAUCUGCCAGGAGUGUAUGCAAAUCAACACUCUAUCAAGCAUACACAGGAUCCCUCCCUGACCCGCAAGUCUUGUCUCUUGGGGAAGGACUGAAAAACCUCAGGCCGCAACCACUAAUAUUCUCAGUGCUGCAUGGCUUGUCUCAACUCUCCAUGGUCGACUCCAGGUUCGGACCUGUGCCGCGAGGUUCACACCUGUCCUACCAGUGUCCUCCUGUGGGCAAAUGUGGAAAUUAUGUCCAACACCCAGAUACACCAACAUUCCCUAAACUGCCUUUAGAGGGGUCAACAUUUCCCACUACUUUUCCAAACUUUGACCCAAACUCCCAAAAGUUUCUCCAUUUGGACAGCUUAACUGUGACGCAUGAGAUGGCAGCUGAGAGAGAGGAGCAGACACGUGAGCAGUCUGAGUGCCCAUUAUGGCAAGCCUUACGCAAGCCUAGAGUGACAGCUAGUAGGUUCUAUGAGGUUAGCCAUGUGAAAGGGCCGUCUUCUGGUCAGACCCUGGCAGGGCGGAUACUUAAGGGAGUAGGCCAAACUCCCGCCAUGAAGAGGGGCCUUGAAAGCGAGCCACAGGUGCUGGAACAAUAUUCAAAACAUUUCAAUGUAAAUGUCUUACGCUGUGCUCCUCACCUCUGGGCUAGCCCUGAUGCAACGGUAUAUGACCCUAGUGCAGUUCCCUGUUUUGGGCUUCCUGAAGUUAAAUGUUCAGACAUCUCUAGCAUUUCUGAGGCAGGACAUGUAAAAAUGGUGAAUGGUCAGGCAAAACUGAAGCAGAAUCAUAAAUACCAGUGGCAGGUUCAAGGUCAAUUGGCAGUAACUGGAUUGAGUUGGUGCGAUUUUAUAACAGACACUGAGGGAGACUUCACCGUUGAAAGAGUCUGGAGGGAUGAUGAAAUGAUAAAAGAGAUGAAAAAGAAGGUGGACCUGUACUUCUUUGGUACAUAUAUGAAUGUGUAUCUUCAACAGAAAGUGAAAUGAACUGAAUGAAUAAAGGAUUUUAUUAAUUCCCUUUUUCUCAGUACAUUAUUUACAACAUUAUUACAUAUUUACAUUAUUUUGAAUACUUUCUGGACGGACUGACCUGUAGAAUUGUUUAUAGAUUAAUGAUUUCUCAUUCAAUUAUAUACAUCUCAUUCAAUAUAUACAAUGUUUUCAGUAUACAGUUAAAUGCAUGUGAUCGGG